rnacentral:rRNA from 1 species
UACAGAGGGGCAAGCGUUGUUCGGAAUUACUGGGCGUAAAGGGCUCGUAGGCGGCCAACUAAGUCAGACGUGAAAUCCCCAGGCUUAAACCUGGGAACUGCGUCUGAUACUGGAUGCUUGAAUUCGGGAGAUGGGAUGCAGAAUUCCAGGUGUAGCGGUGAAAUGCGCAGAUAUCAGGAAGAACACCGGUGGCGAAGGCGGCCUGCAUCGUCGGCUACUGACUCUGAGGACGAAAAGCGUGGGGAGCAAACAGG